rnacentral:tRNA from 1 species
GGCCUCAUAGCUCAGUCGGUUAGAGCGUUCGCUUACUAAAGCCUUCCCUUUUGCUGGCGUGGGUUCGAAUCCCACUGAGGCCA